rnacentral:rRNA from 1 species
CUUUUAGAGUUUUGUUUUCCUGCUCAGGACGAACGCUGGCGGCGUGCCUAAUACAUGCAAGUCGAGCGCAGGAAGCUCACGGAACUCUUCGGAGGGAAGUGAAGGGAAUGAGCGGCGGACGGGUGAGUAACACGUAAGGAACCUGCCCCAAGGAUUGGGAUAACUCCGAGAAAUCGGAGCUAAUACCGAAUAGUUCUUCAGACCGCAUGGUCUGAUGAUGAAAGGCGCUUCGGCGUCACCUUGGGAUGGCCUUGCGGUGCAUUAGCUAGUUGGUGGGGUAACGGCUCACCAAGGCGACGAUGCAUAGCCGACCUGAGAGGGUGAUCGGCCACACUGGGACUGAGACACGGCCCAGACUCCUACGGGAGGCAGCAGUAGGGAAUCUUCCACAAUGGACGAAAGUCUGAUGGAGCAACGCCGCGUGAGUGAUGAAGGUUUUCGGAUCGUAAAACUCUGUUGUAAGGGAAGAACAAGUACGAGAGGUAAUGCUCGUACCUUGACGGUACCUUGCGAGAAAGCCACGGCUAACUACGUGCCAGCAGCCGCGGUAAUACGUAGGUGGCAAGCGUUGUCCGGAAUUAUUGGGCGUAAAGCGCGCGCAGGCGGCCUUUUAAGUCUGAUGUGAAAGCCCCCGGCUCAACCGGGGAGGGUCAUUGGAAACUGGAAGGCUUGAGUACAGAAGAGAAGAGUGGAAUUCCAUGUGUAGCGGUGAAAUGCGUAGAGAUGUGGAGGAACACCAGUGGCGAAGGCGACUCUUUGGUCUGUAACUGACGCUGAGGCGCGAAAGCGUGGGGAGCAAACAGGAUUAGAUACCCUGGUAGUCCACGCCGUAAACGAUGAGGCUAGGGAUGGGUCC